GACGAACGCUGGCGGCGUGCCUAAUACAUGCAAGUAGAACGCUGAAGAGAGGAGCUUGCUCUUCUUGGAUGAGUUGCGAACGGGUGAGUAACGCGUAGGUAACCUGCCUUGUAGCGGGGGAUAACUAUUGGAAACGAUAGCUAAUACCGCAUAACAAUAGGUGACACAUGUCAUUUAUUUGAAAGGGGCAAUUGCUCCACUACAAGAUGGACCUGCGUUGUAUUAGCUAGUAGGUGAGGUAACGGCUCACCUAGGCGACGAUACAUAGCCGACCUGAGAGGGGGAUAGGCCACACUGGGACGGGGACACGGCCCAGACCCCUACGGGAGGCAGCAGUAGGGAAUCUUCGGCAAUGGGGGCAACCCUGACCGAGCAACGCCGGGUGAGUGAAGAAGGUUUUCGGAUCGUAAAGCUCUGUUGUAAGUCAAGAACGAGUGUGAGAGUGGAAAGUUCACACUGUGACGGUAGCUUACCAGAAAGGGACGGCUAACUACGUG
rnacentral:rRNA from 1 species